GUAAUCACGUGGGAAGUAACCCGGAAGUCUCUUCACUGUUGUGGAAUCACAUUUUGUUCAUUAAUUUCGUUUUUCUGCAUCUGAUUUUCAUGACAUUGUCUGCGAACGAUCCAUCCAGUCUCAGGCAACUUUGCAUAUCUUUAAAUGGCUAGCUGUGAAUCUCCCACACCGCAGUCCCAGAUAAUGAGGAGCUGCUGACAGACCCUGAUCUUUAACAGGACAGAAAACUGACCAACUGGCAUUCUAAGAGAAGGUAAGCUUUUACUUGUAACUUAUUUGUUCAAUACUUAACAGUAAUUGUGGCUCAAACAGUCAGUAACCACAAUUAUGUAAUUUCUGGGGACAACAGGACAUUCCUGUAGAGUAUUUAUUAUUUUCUAUUUGAACACCUUUAAAUUAUGGUCAAAUUAAAUGCAUGCUUAGCCUCUGGGUGUUACAGCUGGUAGUUCUACUUUAAUAAAGGUUCUAAUGAAAAAAAUAUUUGUUAUAAGAAUAAGAAAAUUACCAAAGUUUUGGCUUCGCAUUCUAACUACACUAGGUUAAUCUGUAAGAGCUUUGGUCCACUUCUAUGAAUACAGAAAGAAUAGUGAAAGAGAAUAAUAUUCCUUACUUAAUAUCAUAUAUUAUUUCCAGUUUUAUAUUCAAAGUUGGUGGUCUCCAAUCUUUUUGGUAUCAGGAAGAGGAUGCAGAUUACUUCAACACAGUUGGGGUUGCAAUUUACAGUUCGUGUUAACACAGACAUUUUCAAAACAUGGAAAUUCUCUGUUGUUUCUGUAGCCAAAAGAACUUACAGACUGAUGGACUGAGUCUCCCUAUAUGCUUUAACUGAUGAAUCCAUGACUUAGAAUAGAGCCAAAUCUGGCUCAUACUUAUUCAUUUUUUGUAAUUGCAAUGGCAAUUGUUGGCAUUCUGAAUUUUCACUCAAAACAUUUUUUCUAAAUGUUAUGAUUUGGUCACAAAUCUAAUUUGCCUCACACCUCCAGGGUUGGGGGUUCGAUUCCUGCCUCCGCCCUGCGUACGCAGAGUUUGCACGUUCUCCACGUGCUUCCACGAGGUACUCCGGUUUCCUCCCCUAGUCCAAAUACAUGCGUUGUAGGUUGACUGGCAUCUCUAAAUUGUCUGUAGUGUGUGUGAGUGGGCAUGUGAGUGUGUGUGCAAUUGUGCCCUGUGAUGGGUUGGCACCCCGUCCAGAGUGUCCCCUGCCCUGUGUCCAGAGUCCCCUGAGAUAAGCUCCAGGCUCCAGGCUCCCUGUGACCCUGUGUAGGAUAAGUGGUACAGAACAUAGAUGGAUGGAUGUAAUCAGACAAACAGCAUCAGCUACUAAACAAAAUCAGCACUUAUCAUUAUCUGUCAUUUUCCUCUUAGUCAGUGAAUCCCCAUCUGUGUAGCUAACCUUGGAAGUAAACACAGAGGUGUGUUAGCCUGGAGAUUUUCUCUGUUUAGACACAAAUGCAAUCUAUUUUAUACAGCUUGCUAUGCAAAUUCAUUCAGCAUAGGUUUGUACUUUACUGUUUAUAUUAUUUCUUUGUGUUUCUGCUUGACAAAGCAAGUAAAUGCAUUUUAUUUUUGCAUUGGAGAGAAAAAAAAAUGGGUUUUCAUUUAUGACCACAAGAUCACCAUCCUCAUCAGCACAGUGAAGCCAAAGGUGGCCUUCUGUGUGCAUACAGUGAUGCUGAAGGCUUUAAUAUUUGAAGCAUUGGGAGUGAGAACGGGCUAAAUUUACAUCUGUUUGGAUUAGUACACGUAUGUGUCAUUGAUCACUGUUAUUUGUUAUGUUCUUGAUUCAGCCCCCUUGCUAGUGAGAAUAUUAUUAGAAAAAAAUUAAACAAAGCAUUUUAAAUGAUCUGUUCUCCUAUGCAGUGGGAUGUCAUCAUCUGAUUCUCUUCAUGCUAACAGGCCACGUAGACAGAGUCAUAAAGAAAUGAGCAAGGAGAGAAUUCACAACUGCUCACAGUGUCUUUUCAUAUCAGAGCUACCUUAAAGCACACCAGCGCAUUCACACAGGAGAGAAGCCAUAUCACUGCUCACAGUGUAGAAAAAGUUUUACACAGCAGAGUAACCUUAAAGGUCACCAGCGCAUUCACGCAGGAGAGAUGCCAUUUCACUGCGCACAGUGUGCUAAAGGUUUUACAGAGCUGAGUGACUUUAAAGUACACCAGCGCAUUCACACUGGAGAGAAACUAUAUACAUGUUUAGAGUGUGGAAAAAGUUGUACAGUGCAGAGUAAUCUUAAACGACACCAGCGCAUUCACUCAGGAGAGAAGCUGUAUCAGUGCUCUCAGUUUGGGAAGAGUUUUACUGACAGCAGCAAGCUUAGAAGACACCAGCGGCUUCAUACAAGAGAGAAGCCGUAUCACUGUUCAACAUGUGGGAAGAAGUUAAAACCGAAAAUAUGAGCUGAAAAAACACGAGUGCAUUCACACAGGGUAACACUGUAACGUUGCGCACAGUAUGAAAAGAGGUUCAGUACACCAGCGUAUUCGUAAAGGAGGACCGCUGUAUCACUGCUUACAAAGUGGGAAGCGUUUCACGUCUUUAAACAGGGUAAAGAUGCACAAGUGCAAGUGUUGAAUCUGUAAUGGCAGUCUUAUACUAAUUGCGCAGCAUAUGAUAGAAAAUAAAUUUACACCAGAUAAAGUGUCGUGGGAGAAUUUGGCAGAGGAACCAAACAGUAUACGUGAACAAAGUACGAGUCUGUUAUAUGUAUUUAGUCACUUUUAGACUCUUGGCUGAAUUUUAAAUGCAGUUUUUUUGUGCAUAUACGUACAUAAUAUAGUGACAUUGUCAGUUCUGACACUUUUGACUGAUUUUACAUUAAGAUGCAUUAAAUAAACAUUAAGAAGCGAACACGGAUAAGGAUAUAUAAGCAAAGACAUAAAUGCAGUAAGUAAACCUGUGAGCUCCAGGCAAGAUAUUGCAGACAGUACAAAAUGAUGAGUAUCCUAUUUUUUCUUUUAAUUAAAAAAUUAAUUAAUUACCUGCCUCU